AAUUAAAACAAAAUAUUCCUCAAAUAAAACCAAAAUAUUCCUGAAAUAAAAGCAAAAUAUUCCUAAACUAAAAACAAAAUAUUUCUAAAAUAAAAACAAAGUAGUCCUAAAAUAAAACCGAAAUAUUCCUGAAAUAAAAUCAAAAUAUUCCCACAACGGGCUCAGGGUGAUUUCCACCAGGAAACCCAACCCCAGUGCAAAACCAGAUGACAACUUAAAUUUUGGAAUCAAAACCUUGGAAGAGAUCAAACUGAAAAAACUCAAGGAAAAAGCCAAAAAACAAGGUGGUGAGUUAAAAUCCCUAAAAUCCUAUUUUCCAUCCUGAUUUCUCUUGAAUAAUUCACAAAAAAAUUAAA
ensembl:lncRNA